AAGUCGUAACAAGGUUUCCGUAGGUGAACCUGCGGAAGGAUCAUUAGUGAUUGCCUUAAUUGGCUUAAACUAUAUCCAUCUACACCUGUGAACUGUUUGAUUGAAUCUAACGAUUCAAUUUUUACAAACAUUGUGUAAUGAACGUCAUUAGAUCAUAACAUGAAAAAACUUUCAACAACGGAUCUCUUGGCUCUCGCAUCGAUGAAGAACGCAGCGAAUUGCGAUAAGUAAUGUGAAUUGCAGAAUUCAGUGAAUCAUCGAAUCUUUGAACGCAACUUGCGCUCUCUGGUAUUCCGGAGAGCAUGCCUGUUUGAGUGUCAUGAAAUCUCAACCAUUAGGGUUUCUUAAUGGCUUGGAUUUGGAGGUUUGCCAGUCUAACUGGCUCCUCUUAAAGGAGUUAGCAAGUUUGACUAUUGCUAUCUGGCGUAAUAAGUUUCGCUGGAAUGGUAUUGUGAAGCGUGCUUCUAAUCGUCUUUGGACAAUUACUUUGACUCUGGCCUCAAAUCAGGUAGGACUACCCGCUGAACUUAA
rnacentral:rRNA from 1 species